rnacentral:rRNA from 1 species
AUUGAACGCUGGCGGCAGGCCUAACACAUGCCAGUCGAGCGGAUGAAGGGAGCUUGCUCCUGGAUUCAGCGGCGGACGGGUGAGUAAUGCCUAGGAAUCUGCCUGGUAGUGGGGGAUAACGUCCGGAAACGGGCGCUAAUACCGCAUACGUCCUGAGGGAGAAAGUGGGGGAUCUUCGGACCUCACGCUAUCAGAUGAGCCUAGGUCGGAUUAGCUAGUUGGUGGGGUAAAGGCCUACCAAGGCGACGAUCCGUAACUGGUCUGAGAGGAUGAUCAGUCACACUGGAACUGAGACACGGUCCAGACUCCUACGGGAGGCAGCAGUGGGGAAUAUUGGACAAUGGGCGAAAGCCUGAUCCGGCCAUGCCGCGUGUGUGAAGAAGGUCUUCGGAUUGUAAAGCACUUUAAGUUGGGAGGAAGGGCAGUAAGUUAAUACCUUGCUGUUUUGACGUUACCAACAGAAUAAGCACCGGCUAACUUCGUG